rnacentral:rRNA from 1 species
ACUACGGGAGGCAGCAGUGGGGGAUAUUGCACAAUGGGGGGAACCCUGAUGCAGCGACGCCGCGUGGGUGAAGAAGCGCCUCGGCGCGUAAAGCCCUGUCAGCAGGGAAGAAAAUGACGGUACCUGAAGAAGAAGCCCCGGCUAACUACGUGCCAGCAGCCGCGGUAAUACGUAGGGGGCAAGCGUUAUCCGGAUUUACUGGGGGUAAAGGGGGCGCAGACGGCGAUGAAAGCCAGGAGUGAAAGCCCGGGCCCCAACCCCGGGACUGCUCUUGGAACUGCGUGGCUGGAGUGCAGGAGGGGCAGGCGGAAUUCCUGGUGUAGCGGUGAAAUGCGUAGAUAUCAGGAGGAACACCGGUGGCGAAGGCGGCCUGCUGGACUGCAACUGACGUUGAGGCCCGAAAGCGUGGGGAGCAAACAGGAUUAGAUACCCGGGUAGUC